GACGAACGCUGGCGGCGUGCUUAACACAUGCAAGUCGAACGGAAAGGCCCUGCUUUUGUGGGGUGCUCGAGUGGCGAACGGGUGAGUAACACGUGAGUAACCUGCCCUUGACUUUGGGAUAACUUCAGGAAACUGGGGCUCAUACCGGAUAGGAGCUCCUGCUGCAUGGUGGGGGUUGGAAAGUUUCGGCGGUUGGGGAUGGACUCGAGGCUUAUCAGCUUGUUGGUGGGGUAGUGGCUUACCAAGGCUUUGACGGGUAGCCCGCCUGAGAGGGUGAACGGCCACAAUGCGACUGCGAUACGGACCAGAAUCCUACGGGAGGCAGCAGGGGGGAAUAUUGCGGAAUGGGCGGAAGCCUGAUGCAGCAACGCCGCGUGCGGGAUGACGGCCUUCGGGUUGUAAACCGCUUUCGCCUGUGACGAAGCGUGAGUGACGGUAAUGGGUAAAGAAGCACCGGCUAACUACGUG
rnacentral:rRNA from 1 species